UACGUAGGGCGCAAGCGUUGUCCGGAAUUACUGGGCGUAAAGGGCUCGUAGGCGGCCAACUAAGUCGGAUGUGAAAUCCCCAGGCUCAACCUGGGAACUGCAUCCGAUACUGGAUGGCUUGAAUUCGGGAGAGGGAUGCAGAAUUCCAGGUGUAGCGGUGAAAUGCGUAGAUAUCUGGAGGAAUACCGGUGGCGAAGGCAGCCCCCUGGGCCAAUACUGACG
rnacentral:rRNA from 1 species